rnacentral:lncRNA from 1 species
AUGUCUUUCAUUUAACUCACAACCACCAGGGCCUCUUUCUGGUGCUAUUAUUAUUAUUACCCAUAACUUGUUUUUACUUUUUUAAGAUGCCCUCAGGACCAAGGCUGAGCACAACCACACUUGACAUAAACCUUCUGGUUUCUUCAGAUAGACCAGCAGGCACUAAUGUGGAAUGACACAGGAGGUUGUAGAGACAGGAGGUUGUAGAGACAGGAGGUUGUAGAGACAGGAGGAUUUAGAGACAGGAGGUUGUAGAGACAGGAGGUUUUACAGACAGGUGGUUGUUGAGACAGGAGGUUGUAGAGACAGGAGGUUGUAGAGACAGGAGGUUUUACAGACAGGUGGUUGUUGAGACAGGAGGUUGUAGAGACAGGAGGUUGUAGAGACAGGAGGUUGUAGAGACAGGAGGUUGUAGAGACAGGAGGUUUUACAGACAGGAGGUUGUAGAGAGAGGAGGUUGUAGAGACAGGAGGUUGUAGAGACAGGAGGUUGUAGAGACAGGAGGUUGUAGAGACAGGAGGUGGUACAGACAGGUGGUUGUAGAGACAGGAGGUUGUUGAGACAGGAGGUUGUAGAGACAGGAGAUUGUAGAGACAGGAGGUGGUAGAUACAGGAGGUUGUGGGCAUGCAUGUGCGUGUCCUGGCCUGCUCUCGACAGAUGGAAGUCUCUCUCAGAUUACAUGCCUGUGAGGAACAAAGAAAACCGUUCUCCAAACACUGAUGUCAGACAACCAACCAGUCUACACAACCAACUGUCUGAACUGGUAAUCUAGUCUACACAACCAACUGUCUGAACUGGUAAUCUAGUCUACACAACCAACUGUCUGAACUGGUAAUCUAGUCAACACAACCAACUGUCUGAACUGGUAAUCUGGUCUACACAACCAACUGUCUGAACUGG